GCCCAAACCAACAAGCUUGCUUGUUGGGGUUGUAGGACUCCAAUAUGGUAGUCUGUUAGUAUAGUUGAAGGAUUUGGAAAAUUCCGCUAAAGAGGGUGAAAGCCCCGUAGACGAAAUGCUAACAACACCUAGGAGGAUCCUGAGUACGGCGGAACACGAGAAAUUCCGUCGGAAUCCGCGGGGACCAUCCCGCAAGGCUAAAUACUCCCUAGUGACCGAUAGUGAACCAGUACCGUGAGGGAAAGGUGAAAAGCACCCCGGAAGGGGAGUGAAAUAGAUCCUGAAACCGUGUGCCUACAACAAGUCAAAGCUCGUUAAUGAGUGAUGGCGUGCCUUUUGUAGAAUGAACCGGCGAGUUACGAUUGCAUGCGAGGUUAAGUCGAAGAGACGGAGCCGCAGCGAAAGCGAGUCUGAAUAGGGCGAAUGAGUAUGUAGUCGUAGACCCGAAACCAUGUGAUCUACCCAUGUCCAGGUUGAAGGUGCGGUAAAACGCACUGGAGGACCGAACCCACGUACGUUGAAAAGUGCGGGGAUGAGGUGUGGGUAGCGGAGAAAUUCCAAACGAACUUGGAGAUAGCUGGUUCUCUCCGAAAUAGCUUUAGGGCUAGCCUCGGAAUUGAGAAUGAUGGAGGUAGAGCACUGUUUGGACUAGGGGCCCAUCUCGGGUUACCGAAUUCAGAUAAACUCCGAAUGCCAUUCAUUUAUAUCCGGGAGUCAGACUGCGAGUGAUAAGAUCCGUAGUCGAAAGGGAAACAGCCCAGACCACCAGCUAAGGUCCCAAAAUAUAUGUUAAGUGGAAAAGGAUGUGGGGUUGCACAGACAACUAGGAUGUUGGCUUAGAAGCAGCCACCAUUUAAAGAGUGCGUAAUAGCUCACUAGUCGAGUGACCCUGCGCCGAAAAUGUACCGGGGCUAAACAUAUUACCGAAGCUGUGGACUACACCAUUAGGUGUAGUGGUAGGAGAGCGUUCUAAGGGCGUUGAAGGUCGAUCGUGAGGACGGCUGGAGCGCUUAGAAGUGAGAAUGCCGGUAUGAGUAGCGAAAGACAGGUGAGAAUCCUGUCCACCGUAUGACUAAGGUUUCCUGGGGAAGGCUCGUCCGCCCAGGGUUAGUCGGGACCUAAGCCGAGGCCGAUAGGCGUAGGCGAUGGACAACAGGUUGAUAUUCCU
rnacentral:rRNA from 1 species